CCUACGGGGGGCUGCAGUAAGGAAUAUUGGUCAAUGGAGGAAACUCUGAACCAGCCAUCCCGCGUGAAGGAUGAAGGGGCUCUGCCUUGUAAACUUCUUUUGAAUGGGACGAAAAAAGGGGAUUUAUCCUCGACUGACGGUACCAUUAGAAUAAGCACCGGCUAACUCCGUGCCAGCAGCCGCGGUAAUACGGAGGGUGCAAGCGUUAUCCGGAAUCACUGGGUUUAAAGGGUGCGUAGGCGGCUAAAUAAGUCAGUGGUGAAAGGCCGUGGCUUAACCAUGGGAUUGCCAUUGAUACUGUAUAGCUUGAAUGAGGAUGAGGUUGGCGGAAUGUGGCAUGUAGCGGUGAAAUGCUUAGAUAUGCCAUGGAACAUCGAUUGCGAAGGCAGCUGACUGGACCUGAAUUGACGCUGAGGCACGAAAGCGUGGGUAGCGAACAGGCUUAGAUACCCCAGUAGUC
rnacentral:rRNA from 1 species